UUACCAGGGCUUGACAUACGUUGGAAGCGCAUCGAAAGGUGCGUGCCGCUUGCGGCCGGCGUACAGGUGCUGCAUGGCUGUCGUCAGCUCGUGCUGUGAAGUGUUGGGUUAAGUCCCGCAACGAGCGCAACCCCUGCUGCCUGUUGCCACCACGAGAGGUGGGGACUCAGGCGGGACCGCCGGUGACAACGGAGGAAGGUGGGGACGACGUCAAGUCAUCAUGGCCCUUAUGUCCUGGGCUACACACGUGCUACAAUGGCCGGUACCGAGCGCAGCGAGGCCGCGAGGCGGAGCGAAUCGCUUAAAGCCGGUCCCAGUACGGAUUGGAGUCUGCAACCCGACUCCAUGAAGUUGGAAUCGCUAGUAAUCGCGCAUCAGCAUGGCGCGGUGAAUACGUUCCCGGGCCUU
rnacentral:rRNA from 1 species